UGUCAAAGCAACAACAACCCGACCAUAGAGCAGACAACAGCCGAAGACCACCAAUGGGUCUUCAAUGUAGCAAGGAACUCCUGCACUCAGAGGGGUCAUCAGCUGGCCCCUUAACAAAUAUGCAUACUAGUUCAGUGAUAAUGGAUGUCAUACUAAACUCCAAAAUAUACACCAGAGACUAAAAUUAAAACUCAUACCAGACUAACAAAGGAUAGAGGCUCCUGACUUGGGACAUAUACCUAUAGCUAAUGUAGAAAAACAAAUGCACAAUAAUAUGCACAAUAAAACUCAGUUUAAGAGAAGUCUGAGGCUGAUGUCUGAAUAUGAACCAAAAGAAAAUAAACAAGACAAUAAUACAUAAAUAACAACAGACUACUAGCAGUUACUGACAUGCCAGCUCCAGAC
rnacentral:lncRNA from 1 species